rnacentral:lncRNA from 1 species
ACCAUUUGAGGUGUCACACUUGGGGCACUAGGCACUCAAGCUUCAUGAAGACUUUCUACAUCAAAGAGGUAUGUAUUCUAUCUUGUUACACUCAUUGUUUUGUAUGCUAGAUUAGGAUAAUACCUUGGAAGUUCUUAUUUGCUUGUAUAAUAGAGAAAACAUAGAUCCAAGGUAUUUACGGUUGCAUGUACACUUAGGAGUGUUAGAAUGCUCAAAACCCAACAAUGGUAUCAGAGCCUAGGCUUGUUUUCUUGUUAUACUUGCAAAACUGCUUUAAAAAUCGAAAUUGUUGAUGUCUGAUCAUUAGACUCGGCAAGUCCAUCAGGAGACUCGGCGAGUCCAUGCCUAAAAAGUGAUCAAAUCGAUCCAACUCGCCGAGUUGGUUCAUGCACUCGACGAGUUGGACCCCCAGACAGCAUAAAUUCGACUUUUUUGGCUGGAAUUGGACUAGGAACAUUACCCUAAGAUGUUUUUGAACUUAUAAACUUGUUUUUGAUGUGGUAAUGUUCAUGCUAAUCCAAUUUCAAAGAUAACUGUCAAUAGAUUCAUGUUUAGUAUUAGUUUAAGGUUUAGACUAAUAACAUGAAAAAGUUUGAUUUAAAUUAUCUUGUUCUUAUGAGUUGCUUAGAUUAAUAGAAAAGUUGAGUGAAAUACUUGUUUUCAAUCCAUUUUAAUCUAAGAGUUGAUUCCAAAGUGUGAUUUUGUAACUUGUCCUCAAGUUAUAUGAAAAGUCACAUUUAAGAAUCAUAAAAAUCAUAAAAGUUGGCAAAGGUUACAAAAUGAAGAGUCUAGUUCUAAUUAAAGGGUUUUAUGACUCCAUAACUUGUCCUCAAGUUAUGGAGGUCCAAGAGUCUCUUCAUUAAAUAAUAAAUAAAUAAAAAAAGUGUAACCUUAAUUAAUUCCAUAAGUUAUAAAAUAAAGAAAAGUUAAUUCUUUUAUUAGUUUAAAGUCUUCCAUAACUUGUCCUCAAGUUAUGGAACUUGAAGAGUUUUUGGAUUAAAACUACUUUAAACACAUAAGUUAUGGAAUUAAUUAGUUUUGAAUAGUUUCAAAACUUGCCCUCAAGUUUUGGAAUUUGUAAAGUUUUCACUUAUGAAUACUUUAAUUCCAAGUUAGCCCUUAGAAUUUUAAAAGUUAAAAUUCAACCCUUAUACUUUAUAAUAUUAUAAGUUAAUAAUAUAUAUAUGUAUAAGAGUAAAGUCAGUCUUACCGCUAGUACGCCUCAUUCACGAAGCCGGUCUAUAAGGUGGGUAUAAGGUUGNAGUGUGCUAUAAGGGAAGGUGUAUGAUUUUGAAAAAGUUUUAUCAUAAAUUUGAACUUUCAUAAAUUUGAACUUUCGUAAGAAAGUCAGUUGAUUUCUGAGUACAUGUCAAAGCUAGUGGGAGCAUAAGUGUUAUGCUAAUAAUCAUCAUGUUAGUGGGAGCAUGAUAAUUAUCAUAAGUAUUGCAAGUUAGCAAUGUUAAUUAUAGAAAACAAAAGUUUCAAUUGGGAAAAAGUUGUUUUGCUAUAAUUAAGGGAGAGGAAAUUAUACUUCAUCUCAAAUCUAUAAGCUUAGAUCGUGAGGUUUUAAUCAUUUAGUCAAGGAUAUAUAUGAAUUUCAUGUUGGAAUGGCUCAACAUAAGGAAAUUCUGUAUAUGGGUCCAUUAUUUGCGUUCUAAAAUUCGAUUAUGAUUACGACAUUCCUUUUCAUAACAUGAAUUAUGAGAACUUGGCGAAUUGAAAUGGAAAUAUUAUAGAAAAAUACUGGUUUAGUCUUUAUGUGAGACAUCAUGAAUCGUGUCCCAUAUGCUUCGGAUAUAGGAUCGAUUACAUGUGCUAUAUUCAUCCUCUCUAAAAUUCACCAAAUGCCUGGGGCAUUAGGAAGGGAAAAGGUUUAGAACUGGAUAUGACUAAAAGGAUUAAACAAUUGUCGAGGACAAUCUAAGGUUUACCAAAGAUUGGUUGCUCAAGGACAGUUGGAAGUAUAGUGAUAAUUCUGGAAGGACCAUAUUGACAUAAUCUGUAAGGAGGCAACUCUUGUUCAGAAGUGAUAGUCAAAAUGGAAUCUGGAAAUGUUUCAAAGUUAGAAUUUUCAAUCUGUUUAAGAUUAGGAAACUUAAUGCAAGAAGGAUGUUUCCAAGGAGCUGAUCUCCUUUGGAAUACUCUGUAAUGAUUGUUGUCAAGUCUUUCUGACUUUGUGCAUAAUCAUUACAAGAGGAUCAAUGCAUAUAAGUUUAGAAUCUAACAGAUUUCAGUAAAUGGCAUGAAUUUGGAAUUCUUGCAUUUGCAGUAAGGAUUUGGGAGUGUGAAAAGAGAAUCAUUGAAGUUAUGUUCAAUGGAUCUAGUUCACAAAGUAAAGAUCAUAGACAAACAUAGUAUGCAUACUUGGUGUGUGGCAUGACUAGUGUUUAGAAAACAUAGUGUACAUGCUUGGAGCAUGGGACAACUAUUGUUUUAAAUUCAAGAAUAAAGUUGAUAGCUGAAACAGUAUACAAUGAAUAAUGUGUAAUCAUAUGGUGAUAAAUAAAAGGUGUUUUAUUUAUGUUCAUAGGUUUUGAUACCAUAUUGGAUUCAAUUAUUAUUGUGUUUCACUUUGCAUGUUUUGACUUCCCGAAUAAACUGGGUUAUUCUUCCGGAAUGACUAAGUUAUUCAAACCAUCCACAGUCGGUCAUAUGUUGGAAGUAGAUAUGAAUUAAGACUGUCAUGGGUUGGCUUGUAGAGGUCUAAGGUGUUGGACAAAGGGCUACAACACUCAUGAGUGCUCAUAAGUUCUGAGUAUUGGAUUCAACCCGCGCUCAUUGGAAUCACUUCAUGGAUUUUAUCACGAGUGAUCAUGAGACGAUAAUAUCUUAUAUUCUUCAAACCUAGAGAUAUGAGUUGUUACUAUGAGUUGAUAGUACAUUGAUUGCACGAAAACGCAUUUGGUAACUCGGUGCUAUAAAACGUGCCUUUGUGUAUGAUUCAACAAGUAGUAGAACAAGCCAUAUGAGUCGAAGUUUAUCCAUUCCUUUUACCUUCGGGAUAAAAGCGAUAUCUGUGGGCCCCUCGAUGAUUUGAUGAUGACAAAUGGAAGUGCUCGGCCGGGCCAGGACUGAUUUGAUUUGUUCAAUUAGUCAGUCGUCAUAAAUCGGAAAUCGGGAAACAACAAAUGGACAGAGAGAAUGAUUAUAAUCCAUGUCUCAGUCCAUAUGAUAUCUAGAAUGGAGGAAUAUAUGAUCCCUUAUCUAAUGGACAAGUCAUUGACAAAGGUCAGAGUUCAUCUACAAGGUCAGAGUUCGACAGAAGCUUUUGAGAGCUACGAUUGCCAGUUGGUUCCUGAAGUCAUACGCAAUAAUAGUUUUAGACUUAUCCAAGUGGGAGACUGUUGGAUUAAUGUCUAAGUCCAUAACUAUAAUUGGUAAGACUUGACCCGACCCGGCAUGGUCCAUUUGGGUUGCAUACCAUCAUGCACUUGGAUAGACUAUAAUGAGAGAAAUAAGACACUUAUGGUUAUUAAUAUAUUAUAAGUUCUAGUAUAUUAAUAAUAAGAAUAAUAAGAUUAUUUAAUUAGUAUUGAUCAAGAAUUAAUCUAGGAUUAAUUAAGUGAUCAAAAGAAGACUAAUUAAAUAUAUGGGUUGAUUGUGUAAAUCAUCCAUACUUGUAUAGUGGGCUAAUGCUCCAUGGAUAAUCAAGUUGGGCUAAAACCCAUAGGAUGGUCCAUGGAUGCUCCAUGGUGUAUUUGUACCCAUGGAUCCAAGGAAAUGGAAAGCCAUGACAAUUAAGAGUUUACCCUAAUUGUGUAACUAUAUAAGCAUCUUAUUAUUGAGGAAAAAUCGGCCACUAGUAGUAUUCAAGAAAGGGCUAGCCGAUUUUGGUGAGUGUAGAAUUCUCUCAAGUCAUUCUAAGUGUUUUGAUGAUUGUGAUUCCAUUUGAGGUGUCACACUUGGGGCACUAAGCACUCAAGCUUCAUGAAGACUUUCUACAUCAAGAGGUAUGUAUUCUAUCUUGUUACAUUAUUGUUUUGUAUGCUAGAUUAGGAUAAUACCUUGGAAGUUCUUAUUUGCAUGUAUAAUAGAGAAAACAUAGAUCCAAGGUAUUUAGGGUUGCAUGUACACUUAGGAGUGUUAGAAUGC